rnacentral:ncRNA from 1 species
UAUCUUUGCACCCGAAUUACAUAAUAAUCAUUUAAAAUAAUAUUGGCAUG